rnacentral:rRNA from 1 species
CUGCCUGGUAGUGGGGGAUAACGUUCGGAAACGGACGCUAAUACCGCAUACGUCCUACGGGAGAAAGCAGGGGACCUUCGGGCCUUGCGCUAUCAGAUGAGCCUAGGUCGGAUUAGCUAGUUGGUGGGGUAAUGGCUCACCAAGGCGACGAUCCGUAACUGGUCUGAGAGGGUGAUCAGUCACACUGGAACUGAGACACGGUCCAGACUCCUACGGGAGGCAGCAGUGGGGAAUAUUGGACAAUGGGCGAAAGCCUGAUCCAGCCAUGCCGCGUGUGUGAAGAAGGUCUUCGGAUUGUAAAGCACUUUAAGUUGGGAGGAAGGGUUGUAGAUUAAUACUCUGCAAUUUUGACGUUACCGACAGAAUAAGCACCGGCUAACUCUGUGCCAGCAGCCGCGGUAAUACAGAGGGUGCAAGCGUUAAUCGGAAUUACUGGGCGUAAAGCGCGCGUAUGUGGUUUGUUUAAGUUGGAUGUGAAAUCCCCGGGCUCAACCUGGGAACUGCAUUCAAAACUGACUGACUA